rnacentral:rRNA from 1 species
GACAGAGGGUGCAAACGUUGUUCGGAAUUACUGGGCGUAAAGCGCGUGUAGGUGGCCAGGCAAGUCGGGUGUGAAAGCCCCGGGCUCAACCCGGGAAGUGCACUCGAAACUGCUUGGCUCGAGUGCCGGAGAGGGAAGCGGAAUUCUCGGUGUAGAGGUGAAAUUCGUAGAUAUCGGGAGGAACACCGGUGGCGAAGGCGGCGACCUGGGUAGAUACUGACGCUGAGGUGCGAAAGCGUGGGGAGCAGACAGG